rnacentral:rRNA from 1 species
GAUGAACGCUGGCGGCGUGCCUAAUACAUGCAAGUCGAGCGAACAGACGAGGAGCUUGCUCCUCUGACGUUAGCGGCGGACGGGUGAGUAACACGUGGAUAACCUACCUAUAAGACUGGGAUAACUUCGGGAAACCGGAGCUAAUACCGGAUAAUAUAUUGAACCGCAUGGUUCAAUAGUGAAAGACGGUUUUGCUUUCACUUAUAGAUGUAUCCGCGACGCAUUAGCUAGUUGGUAAGGUAACGGCUUACCAAGGCAACGAUGCGUAGCCGACCUGAGAGGGUGAUCGGCCACACUGGGACUGAGACAAGGUCCAGAAUCCUACGGGAGGCAGCAGUAGGGAAUCUUCCGCAAUGGGCGAAAGCCUGACGGAGCAACGCCGCGUGAGUGAUGAAGGUCUUCGGAUCGUAAAACUCUGUUAUUAGGGAAGAACAAAUGUGUAAGUAACUAUGCACGUCUUGACGGUACCUAAUCAGAAAGCCACGGCUAACUACGUG